UACUCCUACGGGAGGCAGCAGUGAGGAAUAUUGGUCAAUGGUCGGAAGACUGAACCAGCCAAGUAGCGUGAAGGAUGAAGGUUCUAUGGAUUGUAAACUUCUUUUAUACGGGAAUAAAACCACCUACGUGUAGGUGCUUGUAUGUACCGUAUGAAUAAGCAUCGGCUAACUCCGUGCCAGCAGCCGCGGUA
rnacentral:rRNA from 1 species